rnacentral:rRNA from 1 species
ACACAUGCAGUCGACGCUCUCUUCGGAGGGAGUGGCAGACGGGUGAGUAACGCGUUGGGAAUCUACCCAGUACUACGGAACAACAGUUAGAAAUGACUGCUAAUACCGUAUACGCCCUCCGGGGGAAAGAUUUAUCGGUAUUGGAUGAGCCCGCGUUUGAUUAGCUAGUUGGUGAGGUAACGGCUCACCAAGGCGACGAUCAAUAGCUGGUCUGAGAGGAUGAUCAGCCACACUGGGACUGAGACACGGCCCAGACUCCUACGGGAGGCAGCAGUGGGGAAUAUUGGACAAUGGGCGAAAGCCUGAUCCAGCCAUGCCGCGUGUGUGAUGAAGGCCCUAGGGUUGUAAAGCACUUUCAACGGUGAAGAUAAUGACGGUAACCGUAGAAGAAGCUCCGGCUAACUUCGUGCCAGCAGCCGCGGUAAUACGAAGGGAGCUAGCGUUGUUCGGAAUUACUGGGCGUAAAGCGCGCGUAGGCGGGCUAUUAAGUCAGAGGUGAAAUCCCAGGGCUCAACCCUGGAACUGCCUUUGAUACUGGUAGUCUAGAGAUCGAGAGAGGUGAGUGGAAUUCCGAGUGUAGAGGUGAAAUUCGUAGAUAUUCGGAGGAACACCAGUGGCGAAGGCGGCUCACUGGCUCGAUACUGACGCUGAGGUGCGAAAGUGUGGGGAGCAAACAGGAUUAGAUACCC